rnacentral:rRNA from 1 species
AGCGAACGCUGGCGGCAGGCUUAACACAUGCAAGUCGAGCGGGCAUCUUCGGGUGUCAGCGGCGGACGGGUGAGUAACGCGUGGGAACGUGCCUUCUGGUUCGGAAUAACUCAGGGAAACUUGAGCUAAUACCGGAUACGCCCUUUUGGGGAAAGGCUUACUGCCGGAAGAUCGGCCCGCGUCUGAUUAGCUAGUUGGUGGGGUAACGGCCUACCAAGGCGACGAUCAGUAGCUGGUCUGAGAGGAUGAUCAGCCACACUGGGACUGAGACACGGCCCAGACUCCUACGGGAGGCAGCAGUGGGGAAUAUUGGACAAUGGGGGCAACCCUGAUCCAGCCAUGCCGCGUGAGUGAUGAAGGCCUUAGGGUUGUAAAGCUCUUUUAUCCGGGACGAUAAUGACGGUACCGGAGGAAUAAGCCCCGGCUAACUCUGUGCCAGCCGCCGCAGUAACAC